UGGGGGAAUAUUGGACAAUGGGCGCAAGCCUGAUCCAGCCAUGCCGCGUGAGUGAUGAAGGUCUUAGGAUUGUAAAGCUCUUUCACCGGAGAAGAUAAUGACGGUAUCCGGAGAAGAAGCCCCGGCUAACUUCGUGCC
rnacentral:rRNA from 1 species